CUUGAACUCACUUUGUAGCCCAGGCUGGGCUUGAACUCACAGUGAUCCUCCUGCCUCAGCCUCCUGAGUGCUGGG
rnacentral:miRNA from 1 species